AGGGACUUAAUUCCACUGCGGCUGUUCCAUGGAUUGAAUUGUACAGAUUCUCUCAUCAAGUUCCUACUUUCAUGAUAUCAGGAGCAAGGUAUGGAAAAUUGCGUGGUUGCUGGGAGCUUGAUCCUAGAUCAUUGGCAGCUUCUGAACGACCUCUGGAUAAGAGUAAGGCUACCAGUGUUUCAGAAAGUGAGAAAAAUGUUGUUGCUCUCACUAAGAAAAUGUGUCUAGAUGGAGUCAUUGCUGUACUUGGCAAUGUGGAUGAGGACAUCUCCUCUUCACCUUCUUCUUUGAAGAAUUUUGAAAUGCCUGACACAAAAUUCUGCAACUUCGAUCUAGUGCAAUCACGUGAAAUGUUUAAGACUGGUCAGGUAUGGGCUCUGUAUUGCAAAUUGGAUAAGUUGCCCAAAAAUUAUGCUUUGAUAGAAAGUAUUAAACCAUUUCCUGUUUUUGAACUGUCCGUAAAGUGGCUUAAACCUUGCGAUCCUCCAAGAUGUAUUAUUCCAUGGGUUGACAGGGAAAUGCACGUAAGCUGUGGAACAUUUAAGGUUGCAUCCAGUGAAGUUGUUGUCUUUAAUAAUUCCAUUUCUUUCUCUCAUCAGUUAAGUGAGAUACCAGCUGUUAACAACGCGUACACAAUCCAUCCUAGGGUAGGGGAAGUGUGGGCAGUGUAUGGUACAUUUCGCUCUGACUUGAUGUGCUCGGACUUGAAGAAAUGCGAGUACGACUUUGUUGAAAUUUUAGAGGUGGUUGAUGUUCAUUGGAUAAUCGUAUCGGUUUUACAAAGAGUUGCUGGUUUUAAGACGAUAUUCAAAGCUAAAGAAAAAGAGGGACUUGAUUCCACUGUGGCUAUACCGGUGCUUGAAUUGUAUAGAUUCUCUCAUCAAGUUCCUAGUUUCAUAUUGUCUGGUGCAAGGUUUGGGCAGUUGCGUGGAUGCUGGGAGCUCGAUCCUAGAUCAUUGGCAGAUUAUUGAUAUUCGACGAAGUGAAGAUGAGCAGCGUGGUAUAGGCUUUAUCCAGUACGACAGUCUACUCCGGAAGUUGAACCAUUCAUAAAGUUUUCACCAAUGGGCAAUGGGAGAAUGUCCCUUCAAACACUGGAUAGCACGUCCAUCUCUGACGAAAGAGCUACAAACUGGGUGUGAAAGCAUUCACUGGCAGGUGGAUGAGUUGGACAUUGCUUUGGAAGCUAGAGAGCCUCCCUGGUAUGGCGUUGACGAAGUGGAGCUUGAGAAACGUAGAAGAUGGACCAGCACUGCUCGCAUUCAGGUGUGUGUCAUGAAAAAAGCUGGAAAAGCUAGAAGUGCGAACGGUAUGCUUCAGGAGCUAAUGAGGGUCCCUAAUGAUCCUUACCAGGCAGUAAAAUCCAGCUCAUAUGCAGCACAAGAUAAUAAUGAUUUCAUCAUCUUAGUCAGAUUGACAGAUGCUCCUCAUAAACUGAUAUUUCUAGGCAGAAAGAUAAUGAACUGAAGGAGUUAAGUGCAAGCGUGCGAAUAAUUGGAGGUGUGGGGCUUACUUUACACGAAGAACUUACUCGACAGGUAGAAUUUCUGAUUGUCAUUCCUUUUGUGAACUGUUUGUCUUGUUUGUCGGAAUUUGGAGAUACUAGGUUACUGAACUCACACCACUGCUAUCCAGCAUUAGAUAUAGUUAGAUUUUCUCAAUGGAAGCUCUCGUUGGAUUGUCUUCCUCUGCAGUUACAAGUCUUGUUAACUUGUUUACAAUAUCAUACGUUAUCUGUGUAUGUCAGUGUUAGAAGGGGUAUAGUCUAUCAAGUAGAAUUAUGGCCAUUCCCGUUGUUAUUUGUAAGGUUGAAAUACUGUCUUCUUUGUUAAAAUUUGAAGAUAGUAUGUUACUUAAGUCACACCCUUGGUCCUGCUGUCCAGCAUCGGAGAUAGUUGGAUAUUGUUUACGGAAAUGUCUCUUAGGAUAAUUUUCCCCUGCAGUUGAAAGUCAAAUUGACUUUUUAUAAUCUCAUAAUUCCAUUAAGUAUGUCAAUGCUAUUGCUGCGCACCCAUAGUUUACCAAGUAGCUGCUGCCAAGUUUUCUGAGUUUAUAUAGAGAUUUCUUUGUUAUUGUAAAAUGUUUUACUAAAUUUUAAACAUUUUGUUUCAGUUUUGUUUACGCAUCUAUUGUUGCUGUUGGCCUUGUUGCAUUUGUAUACUGAGUCAAUUUUAUCCAAUCAGACCCCAAUAAGUUGGCUUGAUUUGCACAGAAUGCCAACAUUAUCUCAGGCUUUAUUAAACUCAGAUGAGUCAAUUUGUGUUGAAACACCUAACAAAAGGAGUUGUCAGUUUGCCACCAAUUUGUUGUUAUUGAUUUUGAAUUACUAUUCCCAUUCUUGUAUUUGUUAGUGCUUGUCCUGAAUUACUCUUGUUUCUAAAAAUUGUGGAUGCAAAGCGUUUGAUUGGUUGAAGGUUUCAGAUCCAUCAGUUCAAGCUGAGAUGAAGUUAUGGCCUUUCAAGGUUAUUGCUGGACCAGGUGAAAAACCUAUGAUUACUGUCACAUACAGAAACAAUUUUCAUCUGAAGAAAUAUCAUCUAUGAUUAGAGAUUAUAGAAGCUUACCUUGGUUCUUCUGUAAAGAAUGCUGUUGUUACUUUCCCUGCAUAUUAUUAGCAGCGUCAAGCUACAAAGGAUGCUGGCGUCACUGCUGGUCUUAAAGUCAUGAGAAUCAUCAAUGAACCAUCUGCUGCGGCAAUUGCUUAUGAUGGUCUUGAUAAGAAGGCGUGGAGUACCGGGCAGAAGAAUGUUCUAAUUUUCUAUCUUGGUGGUGGUACUUUUGUUUUUCCUUACUGCCUAUUGAAGAGGGUAUUUUCGCUGUAGAUACCCAUCUAGGAGGAGAAGUUUUCGGUAACAGGAUGGUGAAUCAUUUCGUGCAAGAGUUUAAGAGGAUGAAUAAGAACAUGAGUGGAAAUUCUAGGACAUUAGGAAGGUUGAGGACAUCAUGUGAGAGAGGGAAGAGGACUCUUUCAUCCACUGCUCAGACCACGAUUGAGAUUGAUUCUUUGUAUGGAGGUGUUGAUUUUUACACAUCUGAUACUCGUGCUAGAUUCGAAGAGAUGAGAAGUGGUUGAGGGAUGCUAAGAUGGACAGGAACAGUGUUCAUGAUGUUGUUCUGGUCGGUGGAUCAACUAGGAUUCCUGAAGUGCAGCAAUUGUUGCAGGAGUUCUUUGAUGGGAAAAAAUUCUGCAACAGUAUUAACCCCGAUGAAGCUGUGGCUUAUGGAGCGGCUAUGCAGGCUGCGAUUUUGAGUGGUGAAACUAAUCAGAACUUGGAUCAAUUGUUGCUGUUGGACGUUACUCCUCUCUCCCUUGGGCUCGAGACAGCUGGAGGGGUACUGACUACAUCAAUUGCACCAAACACCAGUAUUCCCACCGAAGAGGAGCAAGUUUUCUCCACCUACUCCAACAACCAGCCUAGAAUAUCAAUCAGGUGUGUGAGGGAGAUAGAGCUAGAACCAAGGAUACAAAACUUGCUUGGUUUCGAGCUGUCUGGAUUCCACCUGCCCCUAGUGAUGUUCCUCAGAUUACCGUUUGCUUUGACAUUGAUGCAAAUGGUAUUCUAAAUGAAGAACAAUGUCACAAUCACUAAUGAUAAAGAAAACUUGUCCAGGGAGGAGAUUGAGAAGAUGGUGCAAGAAGCCGAGAAGUACAAGACUGAAGAUGAACAACACGAGCAGAAAGUUUGAGUCGAAGAAUGCUUUGGAGAAUAUGAGGAAUACCACCAAGGAUGAAAAGUUUGCUGGGAAGUUAACACCAGCUGACAAGAAGAAAAAUGAAGCUGCUAUUCAGUGGCUUGAUACCCAAUUGUUGCUGGGAUGUAUCAAGGUGGUGCUGGUCCUGACAUGGGUGGUUUCGGUGGCAUGGAUGAGGAUGAUCCUUAAAUGGGAGGUGCUGGUAGUAGUGCAGGACCUAAGAUUGAGGAAGUUAAUCAAGUGGAACUUGGUGGAGGGAUAUGACUGCUUGGGGUCCUAAAGCUGGAGGGGAUUUAUUUUGUUUAGCUCUUUUCAGUUUACUUUUCAAGUUUUCAUUUUUAUCUGACAAAAUGAUGCUACAGUCUGGCUGUUGGUUGUAAUUUCGAUACGGAAUGGAAAUAUUUCAGUUUUAGUUUGUUAAUCAAGAAUAUGCUUGAUUCUUAAAAACUACUACUUAUGAUAUCUCUGACCUUACACACAUCCUGUGCAUUAUCUGUCUAUACAAGCUCCAGAAGUUUUCAAAGAACAUGAAAAAUUUCUGGGGUAUCCUUUUUAUCAAUCGUGCCGUUAAAAUGCGUGAAAAACCGUCACGGUGGGCCUUAGCCCGUGAACUCUGUGUCCAAGUCCGCUUUUCAAACUGCGGUUAAAACCUGAAGACCUUCAAAAGCAUAAAAUCUUCUGCAACUCGCAAAACCCUUACUCAUGAACUCUCUUCUGGGUUCUUUCCGAUUCAAAAUUUGAGCAGCGGUUUAUCAAUCAAUUCAUGGAGAUUUAAUAUAUUUUUCAAUGACGACUUCAUCACAGACUCAAUCAUCGUCAUUAUCUUCUUCUACAUUUUCAUUCGGAACUGCCACCUCCAUUUCGUCUUCCUCACAAUUUUCAUCUACCCCUUCGACUGGAUUACCCUUUGGAACCAAAGCAGCAUUUGGUUCAUCUGCUGGACCUUCAACAAGUCUUUCAUCAGGAGGAGGAUCUCAACAACCUCCCACACAAUUAUUUGGUGUUUCUACUUCAACUCCUAGCUUUGGAGUCAGUUCUGCAUCUACCACCACUACACCUGCAUUUGGGAUUCGCAAGACAGUAGCACCUGGUGGUUCUUCAUUAUCUGGUUCAACAUCUGGAGCACCAAUGUUUUCUGUUCCUUCGUUUGGAGCAGCUCCCUCUACUUCGUCAGCUGUGUCAAAUGCUACACCAGCUUUUACUAUGCCCUCGUUUGGAGCUCCCACUGCUGCUGCUGCUGCUCCUUCAACUACUAUUACUGCUUCUCCAGGAUUCACGACUUCAAAUUUGUUGGUAACACCUUCAUCUGCUGCUUCGAGAACAUCUACUGCUGCUCCUUUUUCUAGCAUGUCAACUGCUGCCUCUUCUUCUUCACCCAUUAGCAAGUCAACAGUUCCAUUUGGAACUGGUUCAGCAUUGUCCUAUACCACUGCUAGCUUUACACAGACGACUUCUCCUGCAUCAGUGGCACCUGCUGCAACCUCUUCGUCAACAACCACCUUGGCAACUUUUUCCGUUGGAACUCCCCCACUUGGAUUUAAACCAGCAUCUGCUGCUACUACUACAAAUGCAGUAUCGACUGGUGUACUCUCUAGCCCUGCACCUGCAAAGCCUAUGUUCUCAGCAUCAACAGUCACCACCAUAGGUCCAGUUCUGUCAGCAAGUGCAGCAACUGCUACUACUACAAAAGCAGUAUCGACUGGCGCAAUCACUAGCCCUGCACCCGCAAAGCCUGUGAUCUCAGCAUCAAGAGUCACCACCACGGUUCCAGUUCUGUCAGCAAGUGCAGCGACUGCUACCCCUGCUACUACUACAAAUGCAGUAUCGACUGGCGCAGUCUCCAGCCCUGCACCCGCAAAGCGUAUAGUCUCAGCAUCAACAAUCACCACCAAGAGCCCAGUUGUGUCGGCAAGUAUAGCAACUGCUACCCCUGCUACUACUACAAAAGCAGUAUCAGCUGGCGCAGUCUCUAGCCCUGCACCCGCAAAGCCUAAAGUCUCAGCAUCAACAAUCACCACCAAGGGUCCAGUUCUGUCAGCAAGUACAGCAACUGCUACCCCUGCUACUACUACAAAUGCAGUAUCGACUGCUGCAGUCUCUAGACCUGCAUCCGCAAAGCCUAUGUCCACCAAGGGUCCAGUUCUGUCAGCAAGGAUGGCAACUGCUAUCCCUGCUACUACUACAAAUGCAGUAUCGCCUGCCGCAGUCUCUAGACCUGCACCCGCAAAGCCUAUGUCCACCAAGGGUCCAGUUCUGUCAGCAAGGAUGGCAACUGCUACCCCUGCUACUACUACAGGUCCAGUAACGACUGGCGUACUCUCUAGCCCUGCACCUACAAAGCCCGUAGCUGCUGGUUUGGUAUCAAAAGCCUUCACCACGACACCUGCUUCUCCUGCCCAGGGUCUCUUUUCUUCGCUAGCUGGCCCAGCUGCUAACUCUGCUGGUUCAACACCAUCUAUUACUACUCCUAAACGAGAACCUGAAUUGGUGGUCCGUAAAGUUCCCAAUCCAGAGUUUUAUAACUUCAGGAAUAAGACUAAAGCAUCCUUUGAAGUUGGUCAGAAGUGGGCCAUUUAUGUCGAUUUAGAUCAUAUGCCCAAAAAAUAUGUUUGUAUCAAUAAAGUGUAUUCACCUUUCAAGGUAGAUGUCACAUGGUUGGAGUUUAUUGCUGGGGAUAUAAAUGAGACUGCUUGGAAGACAAGUGGGUUACCUGUUGCUUGUGGGAAGUUCAGAUACGGGAAGAAUCAGAAGACCGAUACAAUUACAGAUGUGAGUUCAUUCUCCCAUAAGGUUUUUAAGAACAAAAGCGUCAGUGGGAAUUGCGACAUCUAUCCCCGCAAAGGGGAAACUUGGGCCCUCUACAAGAACUGGAACAUUAAAUGGAGCUCUGAUCCGAACAAUCACAGAGAGUACGAGUAUGAAUUUGUUGUUGUCCUGUCAGAUUACAGUAAAAAAUCAGGCAUUUUGGUUGCCUAUUUGGUUAAGUUAAAAGGUUUUGUAUGCCUGUUUAAGCCAACCAAUAACAAUGGCAUGGCUUCCUUUCAGAUACCAUCCAAUCAAAUGUUAAGAUUCUCUCACAGGGUUCCUUCAAAUAGAACGAACGGUAAAGAACGAAAAGACGUCCCUGAAGGUUAUUUUGAACUUGAUCCGUGCUGCCUGCUCAGUAACCUUAAAGAAGUGUCUGAGUUCAUUGAUAGGAAAGCUGAAGUUGUUGAUGGUAAUAAUAAUGGUUCGUCAAUAUCUGUAUCAAAGUAUAAGCAUCCUGUGCUGAAGAAAAGAAAAAACCCUGAUACAGAGAUUACCUUGGAUGGGAGUUCCCGAGGUGGAAAUAAGUCUUCUAGGAUGUCAGAUGGAUGCUAUAAGAACCCAAAUGAAGAAAACCGGGCAGCAGAAGCUUCUCGUCAACCUCAGAAUAAGAGUAAGGCUACCAGUGUUUCAGAUGGCGGGAAAAUUGUUGCUGCUCACGCUAAGGAAAUGAGCCCAGAUGGUAUGAAUGCCAUACCUGGCAGUGUGGACGAGGUCAUCCCCUCUUCACUUUCUUUGAAAUUUUUUGAAUUGCUAGACACGGAAUUUUGCAACUUUGACGAAGAGCGAUCCUGUGAAAAAUUUAAGACGGGUCAGGUAUGGGCUCUGUAUUACAAAUUGGAUAAGUUUCCCAAAACCUAUGUUCAGAUAGAGUGCGUUGAGUCCUUUCCUGUUUUUAAGCUGUAUGCAAAGUGGCUCAAAUCUUGCGAUCCUCCAAGACGUAUUAUUCCAUGGGUUGACAAGGAAAUGCCAGUAAGCUGUGGAACAUUUAAGGUCACAUCUAGUGAAGUUGUUUUCUUUUAUGAUUCCAUUUCUUUCUCUCAUCAGGUAAGUGGGGUACCAACUGCUAAUAACGUGUACACAAUACUUCCAAGGGCAGGGGAAGUGUGGGCAGUAUACAGUAAAUUUCGCUCUGACCUGACGUGCUCAGACUUGAAAAAAUGCGAGUACGACAUCGUUGAAAUUUUAGAGGUGGUUGAUGUUCAUUGGAUAAUAGUAUCAGUUUUGGAAAGAGUUGCUGGUUUUAAGACGAUAUUCAAAGCUAAACAAACAGAGGGACUUGAUUCCACUGCGGCUAUUCCGUGGAUUGAAUUGUAUAGAUUCUCUCAUCAAGUUCCUAGUUUCAUGAUAUCAGGAGCAAGGUAUGGCAAAUUGCGUGGCUGCUGGGAGCUCGAUAUUAGAUCAUUGGCAGCUUCUGAUCAACCUCUGGAUAAGAGUAAGUCUACUAGUGUUCCAAAUGGUGAUGAAUAUGUUGUUGCUCCCACUAUGAAAAUGAGUCUAGAUGGUGUCAUUUCGAUACCUGGAAAUGUGGGCGAGGACAUCCCCUCUUCACCUUCUUCUUUGAAGACUAUUAAAAUGCCUGUCACAAAAUUCUGCAACUUUGAUGUAGUGCGAUCCUGUGAAAUGUUUAAGACUGGUCAGAUAUGGGCUCUGUAUUGCAAAAUGGAUAAGCUGCCCAAAACCUAUGCUCAAAUAGAGAGUUUUAAAUCAUUUCCUGGUUUUAAACUGGUUGUAAAGUUGCUUAAAUCUUGCGAUCCGCCAAGAAGUAUUAUCCCAUGGGUUGACAAGGAAAUGCCAGUAAGCUGUGGAACAUUUAAGGUCACAUCUAGUGAACUUGUUGUCUUCAAAGAUUCCAUUUCUUUCUCUCAUCAGUUAAGUAAGGUACCAGCUGUCAAUAACGUGUACACAAUCUAUCCAAAGGCAGGGGAAGUGUGGGCACUAUACCGUAAAUUUCGCUCUGACUUGACGUGCUCAGACUUGAAGAAAUGCGAGUACGACAUUGUUGAAAUUUUAGAGGUGGUUGAUGUUCAUUGGAUAAUUGUAUCGGUUAUACAAAGAGUUGCUGGUUUUAAGACGAUAUUCAAAGCUAAAGAAAAAGAGGGACUUGAUUCCACUGCGGCUAUACCGUGGCUCGAAUUGUAUAGAUUCUCUCAUCAAAUUCCUAGUUUCAUAUUGUCAGGAGCAAGGUGUGGGCAGUUGCGUGGAUGCUGGGAGCUUGAUCCUAGAUCAUUGUCAGUUUAUCGAUAUUCAAUGAACUGAAGAUGAGCAGGUUGGUAUAAGUUUUAUUCACUCGACAGUAUAUUCCAGAAGAUGAACUAUUCACAAAGUUAUGCAGGGGAACAAUCUCAUAUCUCUACUGUGAGUCUUAGCCAGUAGUAUUGAACUAUUGUCGGCCUUGAGGUGCAUAUAAGCCUUGAACUUGUGGUGUUAUACUAAAACAUAGAUUUCAGCAUAUUAUCCUUCAGAAUUUUUAGUCAGCCGAUAGAUUUGUUCAAUUUGGGAGCUCCGGCAAAUGCAGUUGAACUGCCAUCAGAAUACAACAGAGGUUAAAGACAGUGAAACGGCAUGACUUUCCUUUACACAUUGUUCACACCUCCAUAUCUGUUAGUUUGGUUUGUGUAGGUGAUUACUUCUCUGGUAAAAUUUCUUACAAGAUGUAGUAUUUGUUCUUCAAUUUGUUUCGUUGUCGUCUUCAUGAUUUCAUUUGAAUUAUUGAUUAAAGUAAAG